rnacentral:rRNA from 1 species
UACGGAGGGGGCUAGCGUUGUUCGGAAUUACUGGGCGUAAAGCGCACGUAGGCGGAUCAGCAAGUUAGGGGUGAAAUCCCGGGGCUCAACCCCGGAACUGCCUUUAAGACUGUUGGUCUGGAGGUCGAGAGAGGUGAGUGGAAUUCCGAGUGUAGAGGUGAAAUUCGUAGAUAUCCGGAGGAACACCAGUGGCGAAGGCGACUUCCUGGCCUGUUCUUGACGCUGAGGCGCGAAAGCUGGGGGAGCAAACGGG